AGCGGGCCAGAGACUAGCUAGCUAGGUACUGUUACUCCAUUAGAACAGUUUGCUGCGCCUAAAAGAAGCUAAACACAUCGGUUAUCUGUAUCGCCAUCUGCUGACAGCUGGGUGGACCAGAUGAAACAGGAUGAAUGCGCUGCUAUUCCCCUGUCCUGUACAUAUGGGUGUUGUGACCACUGGAGGUGCACACGCUCAACUGCACAAAUACACUUUGGAAAGAAAUCUGACCAAGUUGGAGAAACUGCUGAAUAAGGGUGUUGAUGUGGACUGUGAGAAUCACUUGGGUCAGACUCCACUGUUCUGUGCUGCUCUGUUGGGCCAAGUCAAGGUGAUGGAGCUGCUCCUGCGUUACGGAGCUGAUCCCAACCAUCGUUGUGAGGACAGGAGCACCCCAGUUCAUGCAGGUGUAUUCUCCUGCAACCCUUCGGUGGUGAGUGGCUUGCUGGAUGCUGGAGGAGAUCUAAGACUCCAUGAUGUGGAAGGCAGGACACCCUUUGACUGGCUCAGGGCUGUGAAGCAGAAAGACAGUGACAAGAUGCAAGAGUUCCUGGAGAGCUGCAUGUCCUUCAUGCAACAGCUGUGUCAGAGCCCAGCCGCGACGAAGCCCAACUCUAGCUCGUCCCACAUGUCAACAUCCAUCUUGCUACACCCUGUAUCUUUGCUGGAUCGUCUAAAAGCACGUGGACAUGACAAGCAGUUCAAUAAGAGGACAAACAGCAAGUCUUCUGGUACAACAGCCCACUGUUUAGGUUUUGGAAAGCUGUGUGUUAACAAGCCCUGCCCGACAAUGGCUGUGCCAGCAUCUAUUCCACUGAUCAGAGACAGUGAUCUGAGCCAGGCUGAUGAUGAUGAACCUCUGCUCUCCUUCACAUGUGGCUCUUUAACCUCCAUGACCAAUUACAGCUGGAGGGGCUCCAGGGUGACAGUGAAAACCAUGAGGGACAGUCAGACAGCCAAUUUGGACCUGCUCCUCAUAGAACAAGAGUACUGCAGCCAGCUGUUCCACCCACAGCUGCUGCAGCUGAUGGCAGUGAGUGUGUCUGAUGACCUCCAGAGGACCAGUCUGGUGUUUGAACCAGUCAACGUCGGCACGCUGCACAACCUGCUGCACAACAGGCGUACAGAGUUUCCAGUGCUACAGAACACGUGGCUGCUGUCAGUGAUCUUGCAGGUCUGUGAAGGUCUGCAGUACAUCCACAGGGGAGGCCUGGUGAUGAGGGCCCUGUCUUCCCACAGUGUGGUCCUCACAAAGUUCACAGUAGCCAAACUAACUGAUUUAUGCUUCAUGGUCCCCAGCGGUCAAAGUACAUGUGUGAAACCCCCCAUGCACACAGUCCUGCCCCCCAGCCUCUACAGAUGGGCUGCUCCAGAGGUCAUUAAACAGCGGCCGUGCACAACGCUAGCUGACGUCUACAGUCUGUGUGCUCUGAUCCUGGAACUCUACACAGACAGAGAACCAUGGGACACAGUGGACCUGAACGGAAUCAAACAGGCGAUGGAUGCAGGAUGGGCCCUGGCAGUAGACUGCAGCAUUCCACAGCCUUACUAUGAUGUGGUCCUGAAAGGCCUGCAGCCGCACCCACGGGACCGCACGUGCAGCCUGCAGAGCCUGUGCUACACGCUACAACAGGACAUCAAGAGGUUCUCCCUGGAGGAACAGCUCAGUGGUGGUCAGUGUGCUUACCCAGAACAAGAUCUGGGGCCAUCUGAAGUCCAGACCACAGCAGAGCAAACCAUAGUGGGGGAACCAGUACAGAGGGGUACUGAGCACAACACACAAACAUGGACAUUUGCCAGGCCACUCAAAGUCAAGGCAGACACAGUAGUGGCAAGACAGCUGUACAGAGGAGAAGAACCAAAGCUGGGGGGAGACAGAGAUGAAUGUAUGGGGGGAGACACGAUGCUCCAUCAGGUGUACCCUUACAAAGACAUGCUUCAUCUGCUUGCUGAUUUUGACUCAGUUAGUGUUGAGGAAGAACCUGAACCAGAGGCAGACAUAGACAGGGAGCUAGUGGAGCAGCUGGAUGGCCUGAAACUGAUCUCAGAUCAGCAGAUCAGCACCAUUGCGGUCAACCUCAAAGUGUCCCGGGAGCUGCUGCAGCAGGCCAACAGGAGCCUAGACACAGUGGAGAAACACCGCCAGCUGGACCACAUAGGGUUAGACUCAGCAACCCGGCUCAGAGAUGCUCCUUCUUAUAUCCACACCGACGCCUCUUGUGCCUCCUCCCUGUCUUCCUUCUCUAUGUCCACCACAAAUCUUUCAGGAGUUAGCGCUGCUGUUGGACCACGUUCAAAGCAGUACUGUCUCUUACCGAACAGUGGAGAUCACUGGGGAAGGAACCUGGAGGCCCAGCUUCUGAGCAGAGAUUGGGAGCUGCUGAGCCAGGAAGAGCUGGCUUUAUGGCUGAGUCGCUAUCCAGCUGAACAGCAGCAGUAUGAGGAGGGCUGGUCGCCGCCUUGGCUUUCCUCAGGGUGCUACAUGACGGAGAGCCCUUCAGUGGUAGUUGAUCACAGCACAGAGGAUCUGAGCCAGUACAGAUCAGCUCUAGACAGCAGCCUUCUCAACAUCGUCUCUGGGAAGAAGCAGCAGAAAUCCCAUUCACAAGAAAAUGCAGACGUUACAAUGGAGGUGUGCAGGCCAGCAGCUAGUGGGAGUCUACUGCUAGAUACUCACAACACCAAAUAUGAGAGCUUUCCCAACAACUCUGAGAAAACGGACUCUGAUCCUGAAAUCAGUGGAACACAGGCUCAGUAUACACCCAACACUAACACGGCUCACUUUGACAUGGCUGGGCUGGCUGAACUCUCCAGCAUCUCAUACUCUCCAGCUCAGCCUCAGGAAAAACUUUACAGCAUCUCAUACUCUCCAGGUCAGCCUCAGGGGAAACUCUACAGUAUCUCUGUGAGCGGACAAGCCCCACCCUGUAAUAGUACCCCACGUAGCCCAGACGUACGCCGGCGUGUGAUGACAGGAACGAUUGAGGCCAAUCUCGCGGACUCCCCUGUCUGCAGCCACCUCAGCUCUGUGCAUCUCAGGACUGAGAGUUUCACCACACCAAGAGAAAGCUGGACUCCACCUUUCGACGCAGACCCAGCCAGCAGUCCCCAGGGCUUCAUCACAGCCAGCCAGGAGGAAGAGCGGUCAGAUACUAUAUCUCCCAGCUGCAUUGGAGAGCACAAGCUAGAACAGGAAGAAGAAGAAUUAGAAGAAGAAGAAGAAGAAGAAGAAGAAGAAGAAGAGGAAGGAGUGUCUGAACAGGAGCAGAUUGAAGAGAGGCAGGAGGAAAUGGAUGGAACUAGUCAACCAUCUGUGGAGGCAGAAGAAGAGGAGAACAGGGCAGAAGACGAGCUUGAGGAAAUGGAGGAAGGAUUGCAGACGGUCAAAGGGUGCACUGAAGAAGAAAAAAACAUGGACGAGGAGGAGGGAGGAAGGAAUGUUGAAGAAGGCAGUGAGGAAGAAGAGCGUGGCUGCCGUGACCCACAGAGAGAUGUGGGGUCAGAAGUGGACGAUGAAGAAGAUAUUGGUGACAGGAGGAAGGAAAUAACAGGAUUAUUUGGCAAUGGGGAAGAAACAGGGGGCCAUGCCUUGGUUAAGAUCAGUGAGCUUGUUGCCGACACAGUGUCUGCAGAUCGGAAGGAAGAGCUCACGGUGUCUCUAGGGUCACAGCAAGGUCCCAGCUUAUUGGAGGACACAAAAAGAGCCAAUUCAACACUAGAUGAUGUGCUGCAGGGCUUUGUAGUGGAGGGCACCAGGAAGAGCCCAGGAACAAGUGGAAGGGUUGCCACAUUGUGUCAGCUGUUUGAAGGUCAGACUGGUGAUGAUGAACACCCAGCAGGAGAGCAUGCACACAGUCCGCUCCAGUGAUGACUCAGCCUCCACCUGAAAACUCUCUCAACUGGUAAAGUUUAAAGUGGGCACGUGAAACACCAGGGGCCAGGAGGAGUGUGUCGGAGCAGCACCAGACUCUUCAGGAGUCAAAUCAGCAAGGGAAACGUUCUUUAAUGUUAC